rnacentral:lncRNA from 1 species
CGUUCCAAAAGUAACAAGACCAAGAGGGUUUUAGAUCUUCUAGGGCACGAUUAUAUUUUUAGAUAUUAGCUUAACUUGUGUACUAAGCACAGCUUCAGACCGGUCGCGCGUCUGUUGGUUUUCUCUGAUUUUUGCCCGUUUUUUAUCAUUUUUUUUUCCGAGCCUCCCUAAUCAUUUUCCAAUCAUUGGAACAAUCUCAAACAUAUAAAACUAGACAAAACAAAAAGAAAUAUGUACGAGGAUACUAUGGGAUUGCCUCCCAAGUGAGCUUGUUUCACGUCUAUAAGCUUGACGUUUUCACGCCAUUUAAGCGGUUUGGGGCUCCGAGAGAGAGAAAAGUGGUUCCUUACUCGAUGGAAU